AAUGGAACCCAGUGUGGACCUAAAUUGUUUGGGUUGGAGUUAGCUGUAUAUAGCCAGACCCAAUUUUUUACUGGACCAGAUCUGGGUCCAACAAUAAAAUCUGAUCAAAGAAUGAUUUGGGUCAGAGUCUCUGAUCUAAUUUGACCCAUUUGCACUUCUAAUUAAGUCACAUAUUGGGCCAAUGAUGGAUUUUUUUUUUU
rnacentral:lncRNA from 1 species